rnacentral:rRNA from 1 species
GGAUUCCUUUUUAAAAAUUCAAAAAUUGAAUAUAGUUCUAGGUAAAAUAUUGAUAAUGACAAAAUUUUAUCUACAUGUCUUGACCAAAUCUUGUGCCAGCAGUCGCGGCAACACAAGGAAGACUAGUGUUAUUCAUCUUAAAUCGGUUUAACGGGUACCUAGACGGUAAAUUAGGCCUUAAUCGGAACAUUUUUACUAGAGUUAUAUAUGCGUGAGGAUGAUAUGUCAGUAUUACCAGAGUAGAGAUAGAAUUUUUUGAUACUGUUAAGACUGGUAAAGGCAAAAGCAAACCUUUAUAUAUUAACUGACGUUGAGGGACGAAGGCUUGGGUAGCAAACAGGAUUAGAUACCCUAAUAGUCCAGGCAGAGAAUUAUGAAUGUCAUAGAUUACAUGGAUUAUAUUAAGAUUAUAACCCACUUAGUAUGUCCUAUAUAUGUAUUCUAUAAAUGAAAGUGUAAGCAUUCCACCUCAAGAGUAAUGUGGCAACGCAGGAACUGAAAUCAUUAGACCGUUUCUGAUACCAGUAGUGAAGUAUGUUGUUCAAUUUGUUGACCCUCAAACAACCUUACCACAAUUUGAAUAUAUAUAUAUAUUAUAUAUAUACAAGCGUUGCAUUGUUGUCUUCAGUUGAUGUUGUGAAAAUUUGAUUAGAUUCAUAAA